rnacentral:misc_RNA from 1 species
ACACCUCAACUCCUCACGGUUUGCCCGCGACGAGCUUGGACUUUGGGGGUCUUGCUGGCCUGCAGGUUGGCUCCUCUCAAACGAAUCAGCUUGCCAGUGUUUGGUGGCGUCACAGGUGUGAUAACUAUCUACGCUUGUGGUUUUCCACCAGGUAACUUCCAGCAAUGGAGGUUCACUGGAGCUCACAAAUGUCUCUCCUCGGUGAGGACAGCUCUUUGAAC